ensembl:lncRNA
GGAAAAUACCAAACAGGAAGUAGUAGUUUAACUUUGAAGGCAGAAUCCUGCUGUCACUGAGUGUUGACAGCUCUGCAGAGAAACGAAACUUAGAGCUCUGAGGUUUCUGAGUUCAGGAGAAGAAUUCAGAAGAAAAAUCUUCACUGUUCUGUUUUCCUGCUGUUGGUCUGUGAAUUAAAAAAAAAACACUUCCUCAAACUAAAUCACAUCUGUACAGUCAAAGCACUCCUCAGUCCUGCUGCUGCAGCCGGACGGUGGACACACCUGGACAACACCUGCACAACAUCUGGACACACCUGGACUACACCUUUAGUCUCAUUAUGGCCGCUCUCACCUGGUUCCUCACCUUCAUUUGUGCUGCAGGAAGUCACCUGUCUUCAGCCUCACCUGUUCUCCACUCAGCCCCUGAUGUCCAGGCUGGACAGAACGUUUCUCUGAGCUGCAACCUGACGUCCACGCUGGAGAUCACCUGGUUCCUGCUGCGUUCUGAGCAGCUGCUGCCUCUGCUAACAGUAACCCAGACUAAACUACGGGGGAACGUGGUCAGUUUCCACUCUGGAAACCCUCGUCUGACCUGGGAAAGAGACGACCAGAUGGGUCUGAACCUUCAGGAGGUUGAAGAGGAGGAUGCCGGGCUGUAUUUCUGUACCUCUCGGUCAGACGGAGAUGUUCUGGUAAAUGGAGGAAUUCUCCUGACUGUGAACGGAGCCGAUGGGUCCAGCAGAGUAAAGCUGCCAUGCUGGAGUCCGGGGAUCUGCCUUCUUCCAGGUUUAUUCACCUUCUGCUUCAUCAGCAUGGUUGGAUUCUACCUGUGCUCAGGUAAACCAGCUGGUUACUGCUGUAAUCCAGAAGGACGGGACGCCAGCCUGAGGACCACCGAGGAAGAGUCGCUGCAUUACUCCAGUCUGAAGCUUCCAGACAAGCCCCGCCCCUCUGGCAGGCGAGAGCCUCGAUUGGUUGAAGAGAAUGUGACGUACUCAGCAGUGAUGAGUCGCAAGAACCCGAACCAAUCACACGGCCACAAAUAGAAAGCCUUUUAUUCACUGUUACUUUAUUUUAUUUAGUAUUUGGAUGUGUUGUAAACGAUGAAGAGUUUGUUCUCCACCAGUGCUUAAAAAUAAUAAUAAUAAUGAUGAAGAUGGUGAUGAUAAGAAUAAUGAUAAUGGCAAUAAUAAUAAUAAUAACAGUAGUAAUAAUACUACUACUAAUAAUAGUAAUAAUAAUGACAAUAAUAAUAAUUAUUAUUGUUAUAUAAACAUUAAUGGGUAAUUGUGAUUAAUGGAUUCAGUUGAAGUAGACGGUCCUCUCACUGACUGUAUGAGCAUAAAUUAUCUACAUGUGAAUGGACAUAUGAUACAAAAUUUAUUAUAAAAACUAUUUACUAACAUCUUAGUGGCAAAUUCAUUUUUGGAGUUGCUAUAAAGUAAAUGGAAAAAAAUCACUUUUGCACAGAUACCUUUAAGUGGCUUUUAAUCAUCAAAUGAUGCACUCAGGUGUUAAAAAAAGAAGGUAUAAUUAUUAUAUAAUUUUUAUUAAUUAUAAAACAACAGCAGCUCAUAAACUUCUAAUUUCACGUGUGUUGGUUAGAAGUAGCUGAUAACUUCUAGACUGUUAUAUACGUGGCAAUAAAUCCAUAUAGUUUUUGUCAAUAAGCAGCUUUAGCUUCCAUGUAAACAUUGUUGAUGUUGGCGUUCAGACACCAGGGGGCGUUGCAGGAUGGAGAUAGAUAAUUAAAGACUGGUCACCUUCAUGAGAAAAAGAUCUCACCUGAAAUCACUAAUACACUCAUAUCUAUAGUAAAUUAGAUUUAUGUUCAUUUUAUUUCCUAAAUAAAUUUAUAACAUCACCAUAAUGACUGAUUUAUUGAUGAUUUUCAAAUAUAAAGUCAAAUAUUUGCUGAUUUUAGCUACAAAAUAAAGAUUUGCUGCUUUCUUUGGAUCAUACGUCACAGAAAAUGCUCCAUCUUUGAGUUAAAAACUAGCAGGUAAAGAACUAUUUGACUUUUCUAAACAAACUGACAACAUUUUAAUAUCUUCUUAUUUAAAUAAACUAAUUAUCAUGUUUUAUAUGACUGAAGCUGCAGAUUCGCUGCCGACUUGCUGAAGAGAAAAAACUGACUGUACUUUAUGUAAAUAAAGUUUUCUGUUCCUGAUAUUUUGGAGCUUUGCUCUUUUGCACAUUGAAACCAAUAAUCAUGUCCAUAAACAGAAACUGAAUGUUAAAUGUCUCUUACCAUCUGCACAACAGCAGAAAGUUUAUUUUUCUGUCUAUAAUGUUUAUCUGGAGCCUCUACUGUCUUUAUAUUGCUGCUAAAUGUUCCUUUUCCAAUAAAAUCUUCUCAUAUCACACGCUGUGUUUCUACUGUCAUGGGUUCAUGGCUCAAACCUAAACCUGCUUUGACUGAGUUUAUGUUUUUUGUCAUGUGGACAUUUAAAUUUGUGUUAUUUUUACAUUUUUCCAGGUGUUUCCUGUGUGAAGCGACACCAUCCGGCUUCCUCAGACAAAGGUAUGUUUUCUGACUUUAUUAUUUCUCUGCACAUUUACACAAGUUAACUUAUUGGAUCUGAUCAUUUUCAGGGUGUGACCUGGUCAGAAUGAUCAGCUUUGUCAUUUUCUUUCACUUUUACUUCCUCAGAUAUUAAUUUGCUAAAGCUCUUUGGCACAUGAGGGAAAAGGAGACUCAACAUUACAAUCCCUAAAAGUCUGUACAGAUAAAGGGAAAUAAAGACGUGUAGAUAAAUAAUAGGAAAUAAAGACUUUAGUGCAGAUAAAUAAUGGGAAAUAAAGACUUUAGUGCAGAUAAAGGGAAAUAAAGACGUGUAGAUAAAUAAUGGGAAAUAAGGACUUUAGUGCAGAUAAAGGGAAAUAAAGACGUGUAGAUAAAUAAUGGGAAAUAAGGACUUUAGUGCAGAUAAAGGGAAAUAAAGACUAGUGCAGAUAAAUAAAGGGAAAUAAAGACUUAAGUUGAUUUCAUUCAAAUGUCAAAAGUAGCAAAAACCUGAAAGUUCACUCUGCUGUUGACGGACAUUUAGAGGAAACUGGAUGACAUUUUCUAGCUGUGAACGAAACAAUCUGCAGAAUGAAAGGAUAAAAACAUGUUCCAUGAAAUCAUUUAUACAGAAACCAAUAGUCAGAAAAUGGAGUUUGGAAAUUAUGCUUUAGAUUUUUUAAAUCACUCAUCUGUGUAUACACCAAAUUCAUGUUUAUUUAUAUUAAUAUUGAAAUGUGGAGCUUUGAAAACUUUCAAAUUCAUAAAAAGACAAAAACUAGAGAUGAAGCCGUUUUACAUGUAUAGACUAUUACAGUCUGAGUUUCAUAGUUUUAGGGCUGAAACUAUAUUUAACUUUACAACUUUGAAGUGUUUUGUGAAAAUAUAUUGAUUUAUAAUCACUAAAAAUGUGUUCAUCUCUGGAAACCUGUCGUUUUACAUGUGUUUGGGGCUCCUGGCAGGUUUACACGUUCAUUAAACUAGAACAAUAAAAAUUCACACUUUAAUAGUAAAUCCAUCUGAAACCAACACUCUUUUCUUGACCAUCUCUGAUUUUUCUCAUUUUCUUAUAUCAUGAAAUAUGGAUAUUAAUAAAAACAACAAAUUUUAGCUCAAGAUAUCAAACAUGUCAAGGUAAAAGUUUUUUGAAAAUGUGUUAAAAUUGUUUUAGCACAUUUUUUGGGACUAUUUUUUUUAAUCGUCUUGCAAAGUAUUUUAUAUAUUUUAUGAUUUAAAAAGUUUAAUGGAUAUGAGAUGACAAGCAGAAAGCCUGUGAUGAUUUCAGACAUAGUUUUGGAACAUUUUUGGGGUCAACGGGCAAUUUUUCUAAACAUAUGUUGAUAUAUAAGAUAGACUUGUGGGUAAAUCAGAGAUGAAUCUCCCUCGGGAUUAAUAAAAUAUCUAUAUAUGGUCCAGCAGAAGACCCCUGAUGAUCUAAGAUGGUUUGUUCUGAGACAAAGAGACAAUGCAUAUGGGGUAAAAACAGUUUAAAGACAUGGAUUUUUGAGUUUCUAUCUGGCAGCAGGUCUGGUGAUGACGGACGAGUAGAUCACACUCUGAUCUGCUGGAGUCCUGCCGGGUCUUUCCCUCCAGUUCUGUCGGCCCAGAGAGGCGUAAUGGAUUGUCUCCUCAAUGGCCUCACAGUCUGCAGACAGAUGGAGUUAUAUCCUGUGAACAGAUCUGAGAUUAUGGCGGCAUUCAGAGGUCAGAGACGUUACCGGUUUGUCCGCUGGACGUCUUCCACGGCUGCAGCUCUGUGUCUUCAUGCCUCAGUGCUGCUGCAGAGGAAACAGCAUUAAGGUGUGCUGGGCAUGAAGGCUGCGGUGGCAGGUAUGAAUGAUUGUAAUCAGCAGCAGCAGCGGAGCGGGAGCAGGUGGAGCCGGGCCAAUCAGAAGCCAUCUUCUCUACAAUAAAGCCUGACUCUACUCAUCAUUCUGUGCGGGACCGUGAAGGAUCGACAUCUGGAUCCCACCAGUUCGUGCCCACCUGUUCUCGCUGCAUUUGGAUCAAGAAACUCUGGCUGCAACUAUUCCUCCCACUCAAGUUCGGAGCUCACCUGGUCAGUCUCCGCCGCCUUCAGACGCCACAUCAACACGUGGCAGCUUCCGGUACACCUGUCUCCCUCCGGGACCCUCCUCCGUGUGCAGCUCCCCCUACCAGCUGGACACCAGCCCUCACCUCCCUUUCCCCGUCCAUUCAUGCUGUUCCUGGGCACGAGCCUUCCAGACUAGUGAGUUAGUGUUUGGUAAAUGAUAGUUCUUGUGUCUGAGUAUAGUACAACUCUAGUUUGCUUAAAGUAGCCUUUGGAUUCUUAUUGAGUUUGGAAUUAUUCUUGUAUCCGCUGUUAGUUCCAGCGUAGAUAAUAUGUUGCCAGUUAUAGUCUGCUUCUUGUUUCAUUAGAAUUUUGCUCAUUUGAUCUUCGCUCUAGAAUUCUGUUAUUUGCUUUCCUACCUAAGUGAUGCCAAACGUGGGUCAGUCCAUUAUUUUGUAGUUUGAACUCCGCCAGUCCACUAGGGGAACCCUCGUAGCGGUAGUCUUCUUGUCGCGCUCUAUUAAGCGUCAUUUCCGGUUCUCGUCUACCGGACAUAUUUGUAGUUUUUUGUGUUUCCGGAAUCUGUGAAUAAAUCCUUGUUUUGAAGACUCAUCUGGUCUCUUUCCUCAUUCCUGCACCUGAGCCUCACUGAACCUGUAACAAACGAUGGGAAACGGGCAUCAUUUUUGUUUAGACAAUGUAUAUCUAAUGAGUUAUUGAUGCCGG